GACGAACGCUGGCGGCGUGCUUAACACAUGCAAGUCGAACGGGGUCUUUUGCGGAGUAAUCCAAGACUGACCUAGUGGCGGACGGGUGCGUAACGCGUGAACAAUCUGUCCUUGUGAGGGGAAUAACACUUAGAAAUAGGUGCUAAUACCGCAUGGGACCACGGAGUCGCAUGGCUCUGGGGUGAAAGGGCUUCGGCCCGCGCAGGGGUGAGUUCGCGUCUGAUUAGCUAGUUGGCGGGGUAACGGCCCACCAAGGCGACGAUCAGUAGCCGAUCUGAGAGGAUGACCGGCCACACUGGAACUGAGAAACGGUCCAGACUCCUACGGGAGGCAGCAGUGGGGAAUAUUGGGCAAUGGGCGAAAGCCUGACCCAGCAACGCCGCGUGAGGGAAGAAGGUUUUCGGAUCGUAAACCUCUGUCGCAGGGGAUGAAACAAAUGACAGUACCCUGUGAGGAAGCUCCGGCUAACUACGUGCCAGCCGCCGCGGUAAGAC
rnacentral:rRNA from 1 species